ACAAUCUCAGAGAAGCCCUAUAAUAUUCGGUGCAAAUGUUGUCCGAGCUCUGAACAUCUAGACUAUCUCCACACAAACACUUUGAACUCUAUAUGUAAGCCUUUGAUGAAUUGAGAAGACUUGAAAUCUUCUUUAAAGAGGAAGAUAAACAUGGUUGUACGGUCUCUGACCUCUAUGAACUCGUCCAGCAUGCUGGAAACAUUUUACCCAGAUUCUGCAUUGCUUUCAGGCAUUCACUAAAAUUAAAAGAUCUAUAGAUCAGAAAAAUAAAUUAGAAGCAGAAAACCAAGGGCUGCUUCUGAAUUUUGGUUCACAACUUGAUUAGAGCUUAAAAGACUUGCACAAGACCAUCUUGGGGUCAGCUUCUCAACAGCAGCAACAAUUGAGAUGCAUGGAGGAACACGUCUCUUCAUUUCUUGCUAGUAAAUAUGACGUAUGAAUUGAAAGCUGAUGUCUCUUUCAUAUGUUAAACUUGUCAGUUAAUUUUGUUAAUCUUACAUCGUUUUCUCUCAGGCCACUCAGAUACUGGAAUCUAGGAUCUGUGAGCCCGAGAUUGUUGUAAGCUCAGUCAAGAGCGCAGGAU